UGCUGAGCCUCGGGGGUCAGAUCCCCGGGCCUGAGGUGCCCCACCCCUGCUCUAGUGCUUAAGCAAACAAAAACUUUAAAAAUGCUGUUCAAGACUUAAUACAGAAUUUACUUCUUUUUGCAGGAGCACUUUUUACACCAUUUUAAAGAAAGGCAACAUAGCAAUGCAUUUUUAGUAAAGUUCUAACCAAUAAAGAGUAAAUGGCAAUGGUCAAUAGCUGAAAGUUGGAGGAAAGAUUAAAACUCACUAAGUGCUUUGCAGCAAAUGACAAAUGUUAAAGCUAGUAUUAUUGCAUAUGACUAAAAACUUGUUAAGAUGAUAUGGGUAUUUUGGGGGAAGAGCAUGUUCAUAUGGAUUCUGGAAAUGAUGUGUGCGUAAGUGCACCUGUGUAUUUACACAGUGUCUCUAAGGUCUUUCAAAAAUGCCUGCUCCAGUCUCAUUAUCCUUGUGGCCAGAAAGGACUAAACAGAAUGGCAGGGAAUGCCUGAGGAGUGGAAUUGCUGCUGUAAUGCCGAUGCACAUGCAGAAGGUCAGGAGAUCAAGGGGCAAUUUGCCACGAAUUUGCCACGGUGUUGCCAUAUUCUGAAUUGUACAUAACAUACAAAACUCAAGUCUCUUUUAGUCAACUGUGCAUCCAAUUCUGGGACUGCUUCUGUUUAGAAACACUCUCUGGCUGGCCCCUGUCAGUGUGACAACCUGCUCCAUACUGCUUAGGAUCAGGGGUUCACAAGCAGGAAAGAGGGACAGAAUAAUCAAAGCACCAAUGGCUUGUGUAAUUUUAUUUGCCAAAGAAUUAUAGUUUGCAUCAAAUUUAUCUAUCCCUUGGUGUUUCACUCCCUUCACAGGAUGGGAUGCAGAUCUUGCUGUUGACUCCACUGGAGGGCCACCAGUUGGGAACCAGAGACUGUUUUGAGAACUGAGCACCGCAGAAGUAGAAUAACAUUCUGCCUGACCCUAGUAUAUAUAGAAGAGUUCUAAUGUCACCAACACAGGUUUCAGAAUUUGUGCCUGCUGCAUCAUUCCUGGGAUUAAGACACAUUUUCCUGGGGAAAAUAAUGUGUGUCUUCCAACUUUGUCACAAGACACGCACAGUUGGAUUCUAAUCCUCACUGGUACUGUGUCUCUGAAACAGUGUUCAGCCAGUAUCAAUGCCAGGACUACUCUUGCUGUUAUUGUUGAGAUUGGUUUUUAUAACACUUCUAGCUAGCGAGAAUAAGUAUGUAAGGCAACUAAGGAUGCACAACAUGGCUUACUUUCUGUUCCCUAGGGUUGUAUGGACCUUUUUACAUAUCUAUAUGUGCAAGGAGUUUUUUAUUUUAGUUUUUAAAAUCAUCAGUGCUUACCAACUAGUCAGAAACCACUGCAGGCAGUGUCUGCAAUUGAUAUAAACCUAGCUAAGUUCCUGCAGCCUUUUCACUGCAUGUGUUAAUGAUAAAUUGUGCAGAAUGUUGCUUUUGCUUGAGAACUGGAUUUAUUAUUUUGGAUUCCACAGCCAUAUAAUUCUUUUCAAGUGAAUUCAAAUAAUGCAGUGAAAGUGACACCCAAAAGUGAAAGAAGUGGGACAAGAAAGAUCCCGAUCCCUACUCCUUUCCGGACCUAAAAUUAACCUUUCAUUCAUAUGUUUUUCAAUGUGAGCAUCUGUAAAAUCUUCUGUCUUCCCAUAAUCCAAGUCAGGAAUUUUGGUUUAAACAAAGGCUUCACUGUGAAAUUGAUGGAUUCUCUGCCUUUAUGCAAGAGUCCCAGUAAGAGUCUACAUCCGUGGUGUACAACACGCUAGCCACUAGCCACAUGUGGCUAUUUGGCCAGUUGAGUCUGGCUAGUUCGCUAUAGCAGCAGUCACUUAUAGUGGCUACUGCUUCAGAACUGGUUGGACUCCACAGGUCUACACACUUAGAGCUCUGUGUGGAUAUAAAAAUGUAUAUCCACAGCUGAUCCAUGAAUGUAUAGGUCUUUAUACAAACUGAGAAAUAGAAGAUUCUCUGUGCAUCUGCCAUUGUUUCAUGUACAAUACAGAAUUCCCAAUAGAACUAUGUAGAAUUUUGGCUCAAUAUAAAGUUCUCAAUGGAUUCUCAGGUUAAUGGGGAAGAGCUUCCUGCUUGGAGUCCUCUCAAAAUACCUGAAAAAGAUGCAUCUUAUUGAACUAAAAAUCCCAAAAGAAGAAACAUGAUUUGCUCUCACUGGAUUAACUUCCCAAAUUUAGUGGUGACAAGAGUCAAUAGCUGUCCAUGAUUUCUUUUCAGUAUGUGGGCUCCAAGUGAAUUUUAUUGGUAUAUACAUACUCUCAUCUGUUUAUGAAAAAAGGACACUUGGUGUCCAUUGAUACGUCCUCUAGUAGACAUGCAGUCAGGAAGCUCAAGGGCUGAGGAAGGUUUGCAUUUGUUUCUUAAUUUAUUGCAAAACUACAUUCAAUUGGACUAGGUCCCCAGGAGCUCUGAAGUAAACGGUAAAAGGCCAAGGCUCAUUGAACAUCAAGGAAAUAGAGUCUACAUUUUUCUGUAAACAUGUGCAGUUGCAGGAAGAAAACAGAUAUUUGUUACUACUCGACUAAGUUAAAAAAAACCCAACACAGCUGGAGGACAGAUAAAAAACUACUUACAGACGCCAGCAGGGGCUGCCUGAACCCUACAGAAUAAUUCUCAUUACAGUCCAGUGAGAAUAAUUGACAAAAUCUUAUUUUUUAAUAGUCUCACUUAAUUGUAUCAGAGAGCAAACUGUGUUGUGCAGGGUGGAUUACAUUUAAAUUAAAUUGAUUUAAAUUAUGAUUUAAAUAACUAACCAGGAAGACUUGAUUUAAUCGUGGUUUUCUACAUAAAAGUGCAUUCUUGUUGGUUGUCAAACUUUAUCCAUAUUUUCUCUAUAACUCAGAGAUAAAUUUAGGUUUCAUCUUUAGGAGGUACACUAUACAUUUUUAAGUAGUGAUUUAUUUUGAAAACUUUUCAGAUUAGUUGUACAGCAAUAUCAGAAAAUGAAUGAUUGUUUGAUUAUUUCAUUUACCAAAGGUAAUUGAAGCAGAUAUUUAUAAAGUCAUUCGGAAGUGAACUAUUUCCAAUUCAAAAGGUUAAGCAUUAAUAUUUGGAGGAUUUUUUUUGCCAUGCUGCAUUAGGAAGAGAACAUCAUCAGACAGACAUUUGAAUUGCUUUGUUUAACUAACAUAACAUUAUCUAUUCUGGAUUAUUUUCUUAAACAGCAAAUCUCUCUCUUUCUCUUUUAUAUAUAUAAAAAGUUUCCUACGAGA